GACGUCACCAAGUCAGCUGCUGUUCCAAUUGCGGAAAUGACCGUUCUCCGUUCUCCCGAACCUGCAAGUCGGGACUCGCGAGUCUAUUCUCGCGGGAACUCGAGUGCGUUCUCGCCGUCUCAGGUAUUGAGAAAGGGCCACACUUCGCAUCAGCUGUCCCCUGGUUCCUUACCGUAGGCGAAGCGGAAAUCGGCAGGUUUUGCCGGCGGAGUGGAGUUCCGUUAAACUUCGUCGGGGAGGGUCUAACGCCUCAGCCUUUCCAGCUGUCCCCGUCAAACAUCUCUGACCCAGAAGAAAAGGCCUAAAAAAAUGUCUGAGGUGUAAAUGGUUGAUGGCCACGUCCAUGGACACGGAGUGGGUCAGAGGGUAUUCACAGCAGAAACCCAACUGAAUGGUCCUCUGGCGGCUGAUUAGACCUUUAUGAGGGUCCACAGCACCCUGGAUGGUGUUCUCAUAGAAGAAAUGAGUUCCGUUGCUCUUCAAAAGUCUGUGUUGACAGAGUAAAAGGCUGUGGACUGCACCCUGAGAGAUGUCCCACAAUGCUGGUCCUUAUUGUCAAAUUGGAACACCAGUCGUCCGCCCUGGAGAGUCCCGUUGCACGAGGCAUCUCGGAGGUGGAG